rnacentral:rRNA from 1 species
ACUCAAAUGAAUAGACGGGGGCCCGCACAAGCAGCGGAGCGUGUGGUUUAAUUCGAUGCAACGCGAAGAACCUUACCUAGACUUGACAUGACGGUGCAAGCCGGGGAAACCCGGCCCUCCUUCGGGACACCGCCACAGAUGUUGCAUGGCUGUCGUCAGCUCGUGUCGUGAGAUGUUGGGUUAAGUCCCGCAACGAGCGCAACCCCCGUGGUCUGUUGGACUUUUCAGACCAGACUGCCUACAAAAUAGGAGGAAGGUGGGGAUGACGUCAAGUCCGCAUGGCUCUUACGUCUAGGGCUACACACACGCUACAAUGGCCGGGACAAUGCGCAGCCACGGGGCGACCCGGAGCGAAUCGCCAAACCCGGUCUCAGUUCGGAUGGCAGGCUGCAACUCGCCUGCCUGAAGUCGGAGUUGCUAGUAACCGCAUGUCAGCACAGUGCGGUGAAUAUGUUCCCGGGCCUUGUACACACCGCCCGU